rnacentral:lncRNA from 1 species
AAAUAUAUAACUUGUACAAAAAAAUAAUAUCAGGGCUCACUAUUCAAAAUGUUUACACAUGUGCUUUUAUCCAAUAAUUUGACCCAUGGUCAGUAGAUUUCAAAUGCAGUUAAUAAACAGUCAAACAUGUACAUGUAUUAAGGAAAUCAUGAAUUAUUAUUUGUAAUGCACACUAGCAAAUCACAAGAUAUUGUCUUUUCUCAGUGAAAAAAGGGGGAGGAUCAACAAAACUUUUGAAAACAAUAUUGCUGCACCUUUUCAACUAUUAAGCUAGUUAGCUAGCACUCGUUGCUGCUAAUAUAAAAGAUUUAAAUGAAGGUUGAUAAGCCAC